GGGCCACACCUCAGAGCGAGGCUUUCAAACCACAGGCCGCGUCCCUUUGCGGUCCCAGGAAAUCAACGUAGCUCAUGCUCGCCAGCAUUCAAAACAAAAAAUGCAAAAACAGCGAACAAGCUAACACCAAUGACUAACGAGAAAGAGAACAGGAACGACCAGACUCUCCUGCGUGAUUGGAGGCCCUUAUCUGGACUGGGAAGAACAGAACAGAUCCUAGCAUGGAGCUCUGUGGAGUAUGUGCUCGAGAAACGGGAAGGGACCGAGCCCUCACGACAAGGUGUGUAGACAGUGGAGGCAGAUGAAACCCAGGCCAUGCGAUUCCUAAGCAUAACCUCUACCCGUGGAUGUAUUCAGAAGACGGAACAACGGAGCAGCACAAGGUAAGAGCAGUCAGAACGCGAUGGCCCUUGAGCGGAGCCGUCCUGCAGACCCUUGCCGGGCGAACCCGGCUGUAUCACAAGAGGCUAGCACAGUGAC